AGAAGAUUGGUCAGAUGAUGAAAAUUCAGAUCGUGAAGAUCGGUCAGAGAAUGGGAACGAAUGGGACGAUCUUAAUGAAAACAACUCGGAGCUCUCGAAUGAAGAUUACAUUAGUCAGUUCAUUUUCGAAUGUCAUAAUGCGUACGACUAUUACGGUGAAUCCGACGUGGAGACAGGCCUUAACGACGAAUCAUUAGAUGCACCUGGUUCUGGGGA